AGGCCCAGCCCAGGUGGGCCGCCCGCUCUGCUGUUUCAGGGCCGCUGGGAGCAGGCUCGGGCGCGGAUGGGCCGCCCAAGAGGUCGGCACCUGUCCCGCGGCGCAGGGCCCAGCAGGGGGGGCCCGCAGGACGCUGGCGUGGGGCCCUCGCGGCGGCCGGACAAGGUGACCUCAUCCACGAGCUCCGCGCGGCCGGUCCCUCAGGGCCGUCGCUCCAGGAGGAACGUCCUUGACUUGGAUUCGCCCCCAUCUCCUCCACGCUGAAGGCUGGCACCUGGUGGACUGAGAGCUCCCGCCUGGUAAUUACAGUCAGCGUGGAAGAGCUCUGCCCUGAGGUGGUAACUGUGAGUGCAGACAGAAGCGCUUCCGUCCCCGCGAGCUGAGGACCGACCUAGAGGAAAAUGUCCCCAUCUCAGCCCAGGGUGACCCGGGACGAGGCGGGAGCAACGGGCGGCGGCUUCACUUUGACCACAGCGCGGGACCAUGUACAUGGCCAUGUAGCAUGUGCAGUUAUGUGACAGCAUAGCAAUGCACAAGAACAGAGACACAGCAUUGCAGCGACAUGGGCAACCUGGAAGUAAACCCACAGACUUAAACUCAACUGAUGUGUGUCAAAGACGCUGAGAAUACACACGGAGGAAAGGACAGCUUCUUCAGUAAAUGGCUCUGGGCAAACUAAACAUCCAUGUGCGAAAGAAUGAAACUCGGCCUGCAUCCUUCCCCAGUUACAAGUCAACUCAAGUGGAUUAAAGAUUUAAAUAUAAGGCCAGAAACCAUGGAACUGCUAGGGGGAAUCAGGGGAAAUCCUUCACGAUAUUUGUCAUCAAAAGAUGCUUUUGAGUUAAAUUUCAAAAGUACAAUCAACGAAAGCCAAGUGAGGCAAGUGCGGUUAUAUUACAUGAAGAGGCUUCACAGCAGAGAAAACAGUGACCAGCGAAGGGCAUCUACAGCACAGGACGAAGUAUUCGCAAACCAUCUGUCUCACAGGGGAUUGAUACCCAGAACGUAUAAGCAAUGCGAACAACCCAACAACAAAAGCACCCAAGUAAUCUGAUUAAGAAACAGGCAAAUGACCCAAAUAGACAUUUCUCAAAAGGCUCACAAUGGCCAGCAAGUAUACAAGAACUGCUCGACAUCACUAAGCACCAGGGAAAUGCAAUUCCAAACCACAAUAAGGUAUCAUCUCACCCCAGUGAAAAUGGCUCUUAUUAAAGAGAAAAAAAAUUAAUGCUGGCAAGGAUGUCAAGAAAGGGGAACUUUUGGACACUGUUGGUGGGAAUGUGAAUUUGUAGAGCCAUGUGGAAAAUAUGGAGGUUCCUGAAAAAGGCUAACACCAGAAAUGUCAGACCUGGCAACCCUAUUACUUGAUAUAUACCCAAGGAAAGAGAAUCAGUAUGUCAAAAUAUAGCUGCACUCCCAUGUUAAUUGCAGCUAUUGCUACAGUCAAGAUACCAAGUCAGUGUGUCUAUUGAUGCAUAAAUGAGUUAAAAUGUAUUAUGGAAUAUUAUUCAGCUAUUAAAAAGAUGAAAUCCUGCCCUUUGUUGCAUGGAUGAAACUGGAGGACAUUUUGUUCAGAGAGCUAGGCACAGAAAGACACAUAAAGGAAUGGGCCAAGGAUUUAGCUCAGUAGUUCUGCCGCCUGCCUCCCAAGUGCAAGGUCCUGAGUUUGAUCCCUGGUACCAAAAAAACAAAAAAAACCCUUCUUGGGCCAGGGAUGUAGCUCAGUGGUUUCGCUGCCUGCUGCGCAAGUGCAAGGACCCAAGUUCAAUCUCCGGUACCAAAAAAAAAAAGAUAACUAAAUACUGCACAUUCUCAUUUGUGGAAGCUACAGAGUUGAUUUCAUAGAAGCAGAGAGUAGAUUAGUGGUUACCAGAGGCUGGGGAGAGGCAUGGGGAGGGCAGAUGAGCAGAUGUUGGCCAACAGGUAUAAGAGUCCUGGUAGACAAGAGGGAUACAAUUGGUGUUCCAUAGCUUUGUUAUUUUUAGCUAUUUAUUUGAUUCUAUCCGAUGACUGUGGAAUUCUUUUCUGUUGUUAAUGAUGAUAUAGUUGUUGCUUUAAGGAAGACAUUUACUGUGUAUCGAUAUUUGAUUUGUCUUUAUGUCUACAUUAUUGUUGCCAAUCUCUUUUCUACUGUUAAGGGUGGUAUAGCUGGAGCUAUUAUUGGUUCUUAUGGUGUCGAUAUCUGGUUUGUUUUUGAUUCUCUUAUUACUGCUGACUUUUUCUACGUUAAUGUUGGCGUAGUUGUUGCUUUUUUUUGUUUUGUUUUGUUUUUUGGUACUGGGGAUCGAACUCGGGUCCUUGCGCUUGCACAGCAGGCAGCCAAACCUCGGAGCUAAAUCCCUGGCCCCCGUAGUUGUUGCUUUUAACUGGCUUUUACUGUAUGCCAUUUUCUGGUUUGUCCUUGCGCCAUCAACAUUACCAUGAUUUCCUUUCUUCUCUCUGAGUGGUGGGGGAUCCAGCUCCCAGCAGAAGGUUGGAGCUAAGAAGACUGUCAAAAAUCCCACUGUACAGACAGAAAAUGGGCACAAAUGCAAACAGAACCACACCCAGGGGGACAGAAUCUGACUCAAGGGAUCCCAUAGCAGUGCAGAGCUUCUCUCACAUCCAGCCUUCAGCCCACAGCACAAAAAAACAGAAACACAAGAAAGCAAGGCAAAAAGAUGCUUCCCAACCCCAGCUGCCUCAAAGGUGAUCUCAGCAACCCUGAAGUAGAAGCAGCGACAGGCAAAGGAAGACAGAAACCCAAAUGAUCCAAAUGUUUGAAGAGAUAAAAGAAGCAAGAUAUAAACAGACGUUUUCAAGCGUAAGAUGCCUGUGCCUGAGAAGCAUAUACAUACAGUGUUUAAUGGGCUCAAAGAGGAUCAAAUUAAACAUGUAAAGGAUUUUACCAAUAAAAUGCUUCAUGAGCUUAAAAAGAAACAAUCAAUAAACUCACAGUUAAACAAGACAAGACAAGACGCGAAUGACCACUUUGGUAAAGAAUUAGAAAGUAUGAAAAAGCAAACAGAAAUAGAUGAGAUGAAAAAUUCAAUGGAAAGCACAGGUAGCAGAUUGAUGUGAGGACAGAGUGUCAGGAACAGAACAAGGUUGAUGUAAUACAGCAUAAACUCAGUGACACCCUAAAAAGGGCAAGACAGCCAGGUGUGGUGGCACAUGUCUGUAAUCCCAGCACUCAGGAGGCUGAGGCAGGAGGACUGCCACAAGUUUGAGGCCAGCCUGGGCUACAGAGUGAGUUCAAGACCACCCUGAACUGCAUGGCGAGACCCUGUCUCAAAAUAAAUAAACAAACAAAACACAAGACACCAUGCAAGCUGGAUCCAACAACUUCUAAAUGAGGGAAAAAACCCAACCUCCUCAGAAAAGAAGAAAUCAGAAGAUAACUUAAAGUGUGUAAAAAAUUUAUUCACUGAAAUCAUAGCAGAAAAAUUUCCAAAUCUCAGGAAAGAACUUAAUAUUCAAGUACAAGGGCCACAUAGGACCUCAAAUAGCCGCAGCCAGAGCAGAACCUUCUGCCACACACCAUAGUCAAAGCUCCAGAAACUCAACAGAAGGGGAGACUACGAAAGCUGCUAGAGAAGAACGGCAAGGGCCAACAGAGGAACAGUGGGUUUUCAAUAUGGACCCGAGAGGCCAGCAGAGCUGUGAGUAAAGUUUUGUAAGCCCUAGAAGAAGACAGGUGUCCACUGAGACUCCUGUAGCCAACACAAUUUCCCUCCACAACUGCCAGAGAAGUGAAGCCUCCCCGCAACAAAGGGUCCCAAAGAAGGACCCAACCCUUCCACCAGCCUGGCAGAAAAUACCUACGGGAAGCCUAGGCAGAGACAGCAUGGGCGUUAGUGCCAAGGAGCCCAAAGGAGAGUAUCCAUCUAACCGGGAGUGGCAUGAAACAAAAGGAGAAAAAUCAAGGAAUGAGUGCAAGAAAGAUAAUGCAACGACAGAUUCAGUAAGCACCUACGAUAGCAACUCGCCAGGUCCCGCAGGGUCCCAACUGCCCGGUCGAAAGAUACAGACUGGCAGAUUGAAUUAAACAUGAAACCUGCAGGAGAUGCACCUCAUCCGAAAGGAAGAACAGAGCCUGAAUGUGAAAGAUGGAGAAUGAUUCCCCACUCCACUGGAGCCCAGAAACAAGCAGGAGUAGCAAUCUGAUUUUCAGACACAGCCAGCUCCAAGGCCGAGCUGGUCAGAAGAGACAGAGACGGCCGCUCCCACUGGAAAAGGGCACAGCUUACCAGGAAGAGGUGACAGCUACAAACAUCUGUGCUCCGAAUGCGGGCAUGCCAAACUUCCUGAAACAAACACCACUGGACUUAGCAGGACAGAGGGAUGCCAAGACAAUGAUAGUGAGGGGCUUGGCACCCCACUCUCAAACUGGACAGGUCAGCUGGACAAAAAUCUACAAAGAAACAGCAGGGCUAAACCACACCAUUGAGCAAGGCAACUCAACAGCUAUCUACGGAGUGUUUCACCCAACAACAACAGAAUACACAUUCUUCUCAACAGCACAUGGAGUUUUUUCCAAAAUAGACCAUAGCUUCAGCCAUAAAGUCCUUAAGAAGAAUUCUUACAAAAGAAGUGAAAGAAUCCCCUGUAUAUUAUUGGAUCAUGACAAAAUGAAGCUAGAAAUCAACAGCAAAAAAAGCCAUAGAAACCAUGCAAACACUUGGAGAUUAAAUAACAUGUUAUUCCAUAAUCAUUGGGUCACAGAAGAAAUUAGGGAAGAAAUCAAAAGUUCCUGGAACCAAAUGACAGUGGAAACACAAUAUGCCAAAAAAAUCUACAGACUCAAUGAAAGCAGUUCUAAAAGAGGAGUUUUGGGCUGUGAAUGCCCACAUUUAAAAAAUAGGGCAAUCUCAAAUAAAUGACCUAAUGAUGCAUCUCAGGAUAUUAGGAAGACAAGAACAAUGCAAAUCUGAAAUUAAUAGAAGGAAAAAAAUUAUAAAGAUCAGAAGCUGAGUGUGGUGGUACAUGCCUGUACUGUAAUUCCAGCACCCGAGAGGCUGAGGCAGGAGGAUCAUUGUGAGCUCGAGGCCAGCCUAAACUACACAGCGAGAACCUGUCCAAAAAAAAAAAA